GCACUGGCUGGGCUCUGACAGAGACUGGGAGCGGGAGAGAGCCCUGCGGGUUUGUGCCCGUGUGCUGAGGGCUUGCAAGGAGCGAGCUGAGCUCACGAGAGGACGCCCUUGCCGGCAGCUGGGCUCCCUGGUGGCACUGCUGGUCUCUCUGACCAGUGACUGCCUGGACUCGUCCCGCCACAGGGCAUGGCUCUGCAUCAGCUACCUGGACCAAAUGCAAGUGUCAAGAUAUUCCGGCUGGGCACCGAGCAGCUCCACUGGCUCAGCGUAGCAGCCGUACCCACAGCAUCGGUACCCACAGCAUCAGUACCCGAACGCCUGGCGGAGCAGAUACGAGUAGUAACAAGAGCAGCCGCUUCCAGUCAGUAUCUCCAGCCUCAUUUCUUACCAUCUCUAAUGAAGGCAGUGAAGAACGUCCAUGCCCAUUUCUAGGCCAGAGCCAUGGCAUGGAAUUGCAGCCCUCUUCUGCUCCUGACAAGAACAAGGUGAAUUGCAUUUCAAAAAGUGGCUCUGCUUUCUUGUCAGCAUCCUCAAGUCACUUAUCCACACACAGGAUCUCACACUUACGGGCACUACACAGAGCCCAACUGUCUCCUCCAGCCCGACACCAGUUUGUUCCACCCCAUUUCUGUGGCGUCCUUGUCUACAAACACAGAUCAAGACAGGGUCUCCUGUGGAACCAGCACAGCACCACAGACCUUGUCUGAUCACACUAUUGGCAUUGUUUUGAUAAUUUCUGGCACUGUCGUAAUUGAACUGUCUGUAUAAUUGCCAGUUUGGUAGCACAUUAAGAAGUUCAGGAGGAUGCAGCAGCUGAUGCUCAGUUGCACUUUCUGCUUGUGAAGACUCCAGUUUUGUGCCCUUCCUGCUUUUUUAAACACUGCUGCAAACAGAGGCUCUCGUCACAGUGACUCACUGCCAGUGAUGUCCGUGUUUCCUCGCUGAGUACCUGACAGCUUCUCUGUGCAAUGGAAAGGGUGAAGAGCACAUGGGAAGCGACCAGAGACUCGCGGUUGCCAAGGCCAGUGCUGCAGGGUGGCUCCUGGGGUGUCUUAUUUCCCUUUGACUCCUCGUGCACACACACGUACAGCCCACAUAGGCCUGUGGCUUUUAUCUGAACGGUUUGAGGCAGAACUGGCACUUGUAAGAAUCUUUUUUACUGGACAGACCUGUUCUCAUCUGGAACUGAUGUGCACUGAGAUGUAUCUCCAAAGCAAAGCUGGUGAGUCAUUGUCACUUGUUCACACGAGGUGAAUACAACCUGCGAAAAACACCCUUGCCAUAGAAGCAUCUGAACACUUGUGCAUGUCAGGACUGUGCUUUCUCCGUAUAAUUCCAUAGGUUCAGUGUGUUUUAAUGGUUUUAAGGUUUAAGGUUUUAAUGCACGUGUAUUGAAUUCCAGAGGAAAACUUCGUCUAGUCGGUUAAUUGAAACAGCUUUAGUGGCGUAUGUUACGUGCUAACACACAAAGCAGCGUUGCGGUCUCUGAAACAUGCAUAGAAGGACGUAUAUUUAAGACAAUUCUAGACGUAAAUAAGCAUUAUGGUUCUUAUUGGGAUCUUUUGGCAUCUAAACUCUUAAAUGGGGAAAACAUCUGUGAAGCUCCUGCUAGAACAGCUGCAGAGUGGUGAAGAAUGAAUGUGGGACAAAUCACGUUUGGAUGCUUCACUCCUGCCACUUUCAGUCAAUAAAGGAGCCAAAUAACAUGCUUGUGAUUUAUAAACAUUAUUUUAAUGUUCAUGGCUUUUACAUGUUACACAUCCCAGGGUCUCGACUGCUGCAGUUCAUAUAACGUACGGUGAACAGGGAGGCGCUGAGUGUCCCAAAGCACGCCUCAAAUCUGUAGGAUACUCUUACCUGGAAACCUCAUUGGACAUUUACUCUUUGGUUUCUGAGUGUGUUCAACUAGGUAGUAGUUUAUUUUUAAUGCAUCGUAUUAAAUUGAUUUUAAACCACUUUUUUCUGAUCUGUAAAAUAUGCAAUGUGACUCAAUAUGUUUGAAUUGAAAUGAUUUGUCAGGUGACACGUAGUGGAAAUAAUCUUUAUUAUGACAGUGAUGUUUUUCUCAAGUAUUUUGCCAAGAAAAGUGAAUUUCUCAGAUUAAAUGGGUAGAAGUCAGCCAAUACCUUUUUCAAAGAAUGUGAGUUUGUCUCCACCUCUGUGACUAGU